CUGCUGGCUGUGACGUUACUCGCAGAAGAAGCACCGGCUAACUCCGUGCCAGCAGCCGCGGUAAUACGGAGGGUGCAAGCGUUAAUCGGAAUUACUGGGCGUAAAGCGCACGCAGGCGGUUGAAUAAGUUAGAUGUGAAAGCCCCGGGCUCAACCUGGGAAUUGCAUUUAAAACUGUCCAGCUAGAGUCUUGUAGAGGGGGGUAGAAUUCCAGGUGUAGCGGUGAAAUGCGUAGAGAUCUGGAGG
rnacentral:rRNA from 1 species